GUGUCAGCCGCCGCGGUAAUACGUAGGUGGCGAGCGUUGUCCGGAUUUACUGGGCGUAAAGAGCGCGCAGGCGGCUGGGUCAGUCCGAUGUGAAAGCUUCCGGCUUAACUGGAAAACGGCAUCGGAAACUGCUCAGCUUGAAGGUGGGAGAGGGUAGCGGAAUUCCCGGUGUAGUGGUGAAAUGCGUAGAUAUCGGGAGGAACACCAGUGGCGAAGGCGGCUACCUGGCCCAUUCUUGACGCUGAGGCGCGAAAGCUAGGGGAGCAAACGGGAUUAGAAACCCCCGUAGUCC
rnacentral:rRNA from 1 species